CCUACGGGGGGCAGCAGUGAGGAAUUUUCCGCAAUGGAGGGAACUCUGACGGAGCAACGCCGCGUGCAGGAAGACGCUUUUCGGAGUGUAAACUGCUUUUCUGUGGGAAGAGAAUGGACGGUACCACAGGAAGAAGCCCCGGCUAACUACGUGCCAGCAGCCGCGGUAAUACGUAGGGGGCGAGCGUUGUCCGGAGUUACUGGGCGUAAAGGGCACGCAGGCGGUCGGACGCGUUUCGUGCGACAGCGGAUGGCUUAACUAUCCGAGUGUGCGAAAGACGGUUGGACUUGAGGGCUCGAGAGGGACACGGAAUUCCGGGUGGAGUGGUGAAAUGCGUAGAGAUCCGGAGGAACAUCGAAGGCGAAGGCAGUGUCCUGGCGAGUGACUGACGCUGAGGUGCGAAAGCUAGGGGAGCGAACGGGAUUAGAUACCCGGGUAGUC
rnacentral:rRNA from 1 species